rnacentral:lncRNA from 1 species
GAGAGCGCGAGCGUGCUGCACCUCGGGAGCUGGCGGCUGAGCUGCCAGGAGCCCAGCCCAGCUGAAUCGAGCGGAGCCGGUGGAGCAGGGGCCUUGUGGGUACCCGGUUGGGCAGGGAGAGGUGCGGCUCUGCGACGGAAACAAUCGCCAGAGAUGCCGGGGCUAGCCUUCCCCACCAGCACUCCUCAAGACUUUGAUCCUUGGAAACCGUGUGUCCAGCAUUGAAGAGAACUGCAACUGAAUGACUAAUCAGAUGAUGGCCAUUUCUAAAUAAGGAAUUUCCUCCCAAUUCAUGGAUAUGAGGGUGGUUUAUGAUUAAGGGUUUAUAUAAAUAAAUGUUUCUAGUCUUCCGUGUGUCAAAAUCCUCACCUCCUUCAUAACCAUCUCCCACAAUUAAUUCUUGACUAUAUAAAUUUAUGGUUUGAUAAUAUUAUCAAUUUGUAAUCAAUUGAGAUUUCUUUAGUGCUUGCUUUUCUGUGACUCAACUGCCCAGACACCUCAUUGUACUUGAAAACUGGAACAGCUUGGGAAUGCCAUGGGGUUUGAUAAUCUGCCAGGGACAUGAAGAGGCUCAGCUUCCUGGACCAUGACUUUGGCUCAGCUGAUCCUGACAUGGGAGAACAACCACAUUUUUCUUUGUGUGUGCUUCUAGCAGCUGUUCGGGAGGACCUUGACCCAAUAGUGUUCCCAUGCUGUUUCUUGUGAAAUGCUCUCGGCUAUGUAGCAGCUUUUGAUUCCCUGCAUACCCUAGGCUGCUGCCCCUAUCCUGUCCCUUGUUUAUAACAUUGAGAGGUUUUCUAGGGCACAUACUGAGUGAGAGCAGUGUUGAGAAGUCGGGGAAAAUGGUGACUACUUUUAGAGCAAGGCUGGGCAUCAGCACCUGUCCAGCUCUACUUGUGUGAUGUUUCAGGAACUCAGCCCCUUUUUCUGCCUAGGAUAAGGAGCUGAAAGAUUAACUUGGAUCUUCUAAUGGUCCAAAUCUUUUGGUCACAAUAAAGAGUCUCCAAAUUAGAGACUGCAUGUUAGUUCUGGAUGGAUUUGGUGGCCUGACAUGAUACCCUGCCAGCUGUGAGGGGACCCCGUUUUUAAGAUGCAUGGCCAAGCUCUCUGCAAAUGGAAAUGCUUACACUGGGUGUUGGGGAUGUUUGCUACCUCCUGCUAUUUUUGUGGUUUUGGUUCUCCCACUAUGGUAGGACCCCUGGCCAGCAUUGUGGCUUGUCAUGUCAGCCCCAUUGACUACCUUCUCAUGCUCUGAGGUACUACUGCCUCUGCAGCACAAAUUUCUAUUUCUGUCAAUAAAAGGAGAUGAAAAUAUUC